GUGCUCACUACAGCAGCACACAUACUACAGUUGGAAUGAUACAAAGAUUAGCAUGGUCUCUGCACAAGAAUAACACACAAAAUCCUGAAGCAUCCAAAUUUGAU